CCUACGGGCGGCAGCAGUGGGGAAUAUUGGGCAAUGGGCGCAAGCCUGACCCAGCAACGCCGCGUGAAGGAAGAAGGCUUUCGGGUUGUAAACUUCUUUUGUUAGGGAAGAGUAGAAGACGGUACCUGACGAAUAAGCCACGGCUAACUACGUGCCAGCAGCCGCGGUAAUACGUAGGUGGCAGGCGUUGUCCGGAUUUACUGGGUGUAAAGGGCGUGUAGCCGGGUUGACAAGUCAGAUGUGAAAUCCUGCGGCUUAACCGCAGAACUGCAUUUGAAACUGUUGAUCUUGAGUACUGGAGAGGCAGACGGAAUUCCUAGUGUAGCGGUGAAAUGCGUAGAUAUUAGGAGGAACACCAGUGGCGAAGGCGGUCUUCUGGACAGCAACUGACGGUGAGGCGCGAAAGCGUGGGGAGCAAACAGGAUUAGAUACCCUUGUAGUC
rnacentral:rRNA from 1 species